rnacentral:rRNA from 1 species
GGGGAUGCCCUAGUAACGGCGAGUGAAGCGGCAACAGCUCAAAUUUGAAAGCUACCUCGGGUUCGCAUUGUAAUUUGUAGAGGAUGAUUUGGGGAAGCCGCCUGUCUAAGUUCCUUGGAACAGGACGUCAUAGAGGGUGAGAAUCCCGUAUGUGACAGGAAAUGGCACCCUAUGUAAAUCUCCUUCGACGAGUCGAGUUGUUUGGGAAUGCAGCUCUAAAUGGGAGGUAAAUUUCUUCUAAAGCUAAAUAUUGGCGAGAGACCGAUAGCGCACAAGUAGAGUGAUCGAAAGAUGAAAAGCACUUUGGAAAGAGAGUUAAAAAGCACGUGAAAUUGUUGAAAGGGAAGCGCUUGCAAUCAGACUUGUUUAAACUGUUCGGCCGGUCUUCUGACCGGUUUACUCAGUUUGGACAGGCCAGCAUCAGUUUCGGCGGCCGGAUAAAGGCUCUGGGAAUGUGGCCUCCACUUCGGUGGAGGUGUUAUAGCCCAGGGUGUAAUACGGCCAGCCGGGACUGAGGUCCGCGCUUCGGCUAGGAUGCUGGCGUAAUGGUUGUAAGCGACCCGUCUUGAAACACGGACCAAGGAGUCUAACAUCUAUGCGAGUGUUCGGGUGUCAAACCCCUGCGCGUAAUGAAAGUGAACGGAGGUGGGAACCCGCAAGGGUGCACCAUCGACCGAUCCUGAUGUCUUCGGAUGGAUUUGAGUAAGAGCAUAGCUGUUGGGACCCGAAAGAUGGUGAACUAUGCCUGAAUAGGGUGAAGCCAGAGGAAACUCUGGUGGAGGUCGCAGCGGUUCUGACGUGCAAAUCGAUCGUCAAAUUUGGGUAUAGGGGCGAAAGACU